UUCACCCCUUUCGGACGCAUCACCCGAUUGAAUGGACAUUAUCAGUGGUUAUCGGCCCAUUCGUAUGGGCCAGUAGGGCCCUACUGUGCCUUUUAGCAGGUGCAGUGGGUUGUUUUCUAUUCACAUCGCUGAUCAGCAUCAUACAGGAAGACUCUCGAUCCAGUCCCCCAGGAAUACAGUCCGCCGUCAGACCUCAAACCUCAAGCGACUUUCAGAUUAGGAAAAAUAGUUCCAAAAUUUCAGUGAGAUGGGAAAAGCAUUGAAAGGAACACGGUUAAGAAAUAUCAAGAUAAAGGUGCUGAGGAGGAAUAUAAAUGGUUGUGUAAAGGUUCAUUACCUUACACAUAAAGACAUCCCCAAGCCCAGCUCCCAACAAACAGGCCUUUUGGACCCCACACUUGUUCCAUCAGAACAAGAUGAAGCAGCAGGCUGUAGUUCAUCUUCUGAAACAAGCAUACAGUAAGGCAAAGAAGAGAGAACUAAAUGCCUGGGAUGCAGUCAAGGAGGACAUGCUCAAAGUUUCAUUUGA